rnacentral:rRNA from 1 species
GAUGAACGCGGCGGCGUGCUUAACACAUGCAAGUCGAACGAUGAAGCCCAGCCUGCUGGGCGGAUUAGUGGCGAACGGGUGAGUAACACGUGAGUAACCUGCCCUUGACUCUGGGAUAAGCCCGGGAAACUGGGUCUAAUACCGGAUAGGAGCGCCUGUCGCAUGACGGGUGCUGGAAAGAUUUUUCGGUCAUGGAUGGACUCGCGGCCUAUCAGCUUGUUGGUGAGGUAACGGCUCACCAAGGCGACGACGGGUAGCCGGCCUGAGAGGGUGACCGGCCACACUGGGACUGAGACACGGCCCAGACUCCUACGGGAGGCAGCAGUGGGGAAUAUUGCACAAUGGGCGGAAGCCUGAUGCAGCGACGCCGCGUG